rnacentral:rRNA from 1 species
GUGUACAGCCAUGCCACCCUGAACAAGCCUGAUUCCGUCUGAUCUUGGAAGCUAAGCAGGUCAGGCUUGGUUAGUACUUGGAUAGGAGACCACCUAGGAAGACCAGAUGCUGUAGGUG